GUAAAAGCAUUUAUUUAAGUUAUUAUAUUUACAGGAAAAAUGGAAAAUCCAACACCACUGUCAAUCCAAACAGCAACUAUAGAACAACCAUCAACAAGACACGGCAAACACCAACUACUUCAAGAGCCAACUUCAUUAACUGGAAUGGUGAAAAGGAUGUUGAACUAUUACGCGAAAUGGCUGUGACAAAUCCUUUUAUGCAUAAAAAGGGAACCAGAGAGCAAAGCGUUUAUGGGAUAAUAUUGCAGAAAAUCUGAACAAAAUAGAUGGCUACAAAGUAGAUCAGCAUAGCAAAAAAAAAAUGCAAAUGAAAUAAAGGAGAGGCAGAAGAUAAAAAAAAAGACAGAUGUAAUAAUGGAGCAGUUAAAGUUACAGAGCACCCAAAUGAAUAUGCUCAUGCAGUUGUUGUUGAGUAAGGAGAAGUAAUAUCUAGCUAUCAAAUGAAUGGACAGGUAUUUUCAAUUUUUAUCUGGCUCUUGAGUUGAACAGGCUGUUGGUCUUGCAAGUACAGUACAGUAUUAUGUUUUCGACUGCUUGGACAUGUCUACAUUUAAAAAAAAUACGUAAAAAAUAUAAGUAGAAUUAAGACUUUAAAAAAUGAAUAAAAAUGUUGACCUUUGAUGUUGUAUCUGUUUAGGUUGUAUCGUUUAGUCAUGUUAACAUUAAUGCAAACCUUUGUUGUUUGGCCUCACUAAAAUGUCAAUAAUGUAGGCUAUUAUGUUGUCAAUUUUUCACAGCUGGUUUUUAUACUGUAUUUUACUUUGGUUUUGACAUUCAAACCUGGACUAGUACAGAAGAACAGUAUUAAAUAAAAAGAGAUUUGUAUUUA